AUUCCAGCUCCAAUAGCGUAUAUUAAAGUUGUUGCAGUUAAAAAGCUCGUAGUCUGACCGUUGUCCUGGCAUUGAGCGUCCGUGGUUACUGAUCAUGUGUACGCGAGGUGCUGGACACUACCUUCGGAGGAGCGUUCGUGCUUUUAACUAAGUGCGUGCGGGAUUCCGAUAGUUUACUUUGAGAAAAAUAGAGUGUUCAAAGCAGGCGUUUGCCUUGAAUACAUUAGCAUGGGAUAAUGAAAUAGGACGUUGGUUCUAUUUUGAUGGUUUACGGACCGACGUAAUGAUUAAUAGGGACAGUUGGGGACAUUUAUAUUCCAUGGCUAGAGGAGAAAUUCUUGGAUUCAUGGAAGAUAAACUACUGCGAAAGCAUUUGUCAAAGAUGUUUUCAUUA
rnacentral:rRNA from 1 species